rnacentral:hammerhead_ribozyme from 1 species
UCACUGCUGAGGUGUCCCACAACAGGACGAAACGGCCGUCCAGUGC